rfam:Camelus ferus unplaced genomic scaffold scaffold1852, whole genome shotgun sequence.
AGGGGUAUAGCUCAGUGGUAGAGUGCAUGCUUGGUGUGCAGGAGGUCCUGGGUUCAAUCCCCAGUGCCUCUG